GCCAGCAGUCAUAUCAUCCUGCAACUCACAACUGGCAACCCACUGAAGCUAAGCAGAUGUGAGCCUGGUCAGUACCUGGAUGGAGACCUCCUGGGAAAAACUAAGGUUGCUGCUGGAA
rnacentral:rRNA from 1 species